rnacentral:tRNA from 1 species
UAAUAGAAGCCAAAAAGAGGCUAUUCACUGUUAAUGAAUAAAUUGAUUUGUAAAUUUCCUAUUAAA